rfam:Cyberlindnera jadinii NRRL Y-1542 unplaced genomic scaffold CYBJAscaffold_17, whole genome shotgun sequence.
UUGCCCUGUGCCUCGCUCGGUUGGAGUCUCUUCUCCAUAUUCCAAUCUUGAGCUGGAUGAUGAAUGUCUCUUCUAGAGACGUCUUCAAUGGGCUAAAUCGACUUUAAAUUUUACUAAAGCUAUCCCUUCUUUGAGUGCGGUGCCAUCGACCUUUGUUCAGGCUCUUAUAGCCCAUGGUGGUGUUGCAAUUACUGGGAUAGACAGCA